rnacentral:rRNA from 1 species
AGAGUUUGAUCCUGGCUCAGAUUGAACGCUGGCGGAAUGCUUUACACAUGCAAGUCGAACGGCAGCAUAGAGAGCUUGCUCUCUGAUGGCGAGUGGCGAACGGGUGAGUAAUAUAUCGGAACGUGCCUAGUAAUGGGGAAUAACUAGCUGAAAGGUUAGCUAAUGCCGCAUACGACCUACGGGUGAAAGCAGGGGAUCUUCGGACCUUGCGUUAUUAGAGCGGCCGAUAUCUGAUUAGCUUGUUGGUAGGGUAAAAGCCUACCAAGGCGACGAUCAGUAGCUGGUCUGAGAGGACGAUCAGCCACACUGGAACUGAGACACGGUCCAGACUCCUACGGGAGGCAGCAGUGGGGAAUUUUGGACAAUGGGGGCAACCCUGAUCCAGCCAUUCCGCGUGAGUGAAGAAGGCCUUCGGGUUGUAAAGCUCUUUCGCAAGAGAAGAAAGCUUGCUAUUUAAUAAAUAGUAAGUAUGACGGUAUCUUGACAAGAAGCACCGGCUAACUAUGUGCCAGCAGCCGCGGUAAUACAUAGGGUGCAAGCGUUAAUCGGAAUUACUGGGCGUAAAGCGUUCGCAGGCGGUCUUAUAAGUCAGAUGUGAAAUCCCCGAGCUCAACUUGGGAACUGCGUUUGAAACUGUAAGACUAGAGUGUGUCAGAGGGGGGUAGAAUUCCAUGUGUAGCAGUGAAAUGCGUAGAUAUGUGGAGGAAUACCAAUGGCGAAGGCAGCCCCCUGGGAUAACACUGACGCUCAUGAACGAAAGCGUGGGGAGCAAACAGGAUUAGAUACCCUGGUAGUCCACGCCCUAAACGAUGUCUACUAGUUGUUGGUGGAGUAAAAUCCAUGAGUAACGCAGCUAACGCGUGAAGUAGACCGCCUGGGGAGUACGGUCGCAAGAUUAAAACUCAAAUGAAUUGACGGGGGCCCGCACAAGCGGUGGAUUAUGUGGAUUAAUUCGAUGCAACGCGAAAAACCUUACCUGGCCUUGACAUGUACCGAAUUUAGCAGAGAUGCUUUAGUGCUCGAAAGAGAACGGUAACAC